CAGCAACAUAAAAGCUUCCCAAAUGCACGUGCUUUCCACAGGAAUCCAUCUACCAGAGUAAUAUGGGAGAUAUAGAUGACGGCAGAAGCAAGCCUGUGUCCCCAAAAAGAGUCCCUGUCCAUCCUUUUUGUUACUGCUGACACUGGGAUCUCUCUGUUGUCCUUGCCUUCUGCUGCCCCAGUCGAGCAGAAAUCCAAGCAGAAGAUGAAAUCUCCACUGCCAAUCUUGUGCCCACAGACUAAGUCGCAGUAGCCCUGGGACUUGAGGUGAUAAACUAUAUAUAUGGAUUGAAAAGAAAAGUUUUCACAGUGUCUCGUCAUCUCCUGGUUAAAUGAUAAGUCUAUGAAGAAAAAACUCUUCUGUGAGGGUACAGAUCCUAGCUCCCACCUGUACUGCAAGGCUGCACACUACCAAAGAAAUAAAAAAAAAAAUGACCGGGUCUGACUCAGGCUCAAUACACCUCCUGCAGACAUGGACAAUUGUAUGAAUUUGAAAAGGAAAAUGAAUACUGAGGCUGAGGGCAUUUGUACAGCCAGUGGCAUCACAGGCGAGGUCUGAGUUUCCUAAAGGCUUUCAAAGAACGCUGUUGCUGCCAGCCCCACUCCCUGCAGCCCUGUCUGGGAGUACAGAUGCCUGGCCAUGAAGAUCUAGGAUCUUUGCUGAUUUAUCUGCUGCUUCUUGAGAAGCCUGACCUCAGGUCUUGGAGGAUGCUCUCCUGAGACAUUCUGGCUUUUAUUAUGUUCACAUAAAAAUCUUAGAAGUGUUUCCUCCCUGAGAAUUACAAGUCAUCAGGACAGCAGUAACUAGUUAAAAAGUCUCGCUGAACAAUUUCCCUGGAAUGAUGACAGCCUACCAUUACAGAGGCACUGUUUGUUCCAUCCCUUAAGUUUUCUUUUAAACAGAGUUGUUGUAAGCAUAAAGAAUUGUGUGAAAGCCUGCAGGUGAUCCUCAUAUUGAAAGACCAAUGUGAUUUUUAUAUUCUGGAAUGCACUCCCCGAACGCCUCACCUGCAGUGUUGAAUUUUUCCAUGCAGGGGAAAAGAAGCAGCGGUCCUUUAUAAAUUGUUCUGCCUCCAGUGAGUGGAAACAAACUGUAAGCUGCAUGCACUCAGGUAUAGUGU